GCGAGAAAACUUUGCAAUGUGCGAAAGCACGACAAGGUUAAUCCGAGUGGUUUCUGCUAAAGGAACCUUUUGUCAGUCCUAGAAACACUGUUGAAUAAGGGGUGGGCAAGUUCUGGUGU
rnacentral:rRNA from 1 species